CCAGCCCAUCAAACUUUGCUGAAAAUGAUGAGGCUUUGGGGUGGCAGUUUAGGCUGCUGGUGGUUGGAAAACUGCUCUAAUCGGGCUCCCAGGCUGAGUAGCUGUCACAUAUGAUCCUGUGGGGUUUGUGCCAAUUGGUGUAAGUUAUGGAAAUGUUUCAUCUUCUGAUAUUUGCUGCUGGGAUGCUGAAAGGGAAAUUUCAACCUGUCAAGUAACUGAGAAGGAGACAUCUACAGAGCCAGUCCUGCUCCCUCACCAGGAGACUUGCAGCAGCCUUGCUUAUCCCUGAGAGAUGCCAAGGUCUUAAUAAGGAUGGGGGGGAAGGAGUGCUUCUUUCCCACUGCAGAUCUUCCUCAUGGAGUCUCCUGGAAAGAGCUGCCAGAGUCUUUUAGAGGCAUCUCAACAGCAUCUACACUCUGAAGACAUCUACUGAAAGUGAUGUAGGUACCCAAAUCAGUUUGGGCUAGCCUGGCAUUUCUCCCAGUGUUCUGACUCAAAGAUGAAAUGUGUUGCUAUCGUUUGCAAGAUGUUCACAAAGCAACUCUGUACAAAAGGAGACUGUACAGCGUGCCACCAUUUGAAAUCUCUUUACAAUGUUUUUCCUUUAAAAAAACAAACCUUGGCAGCUACCAUCUACUCUUUUCUGAUUUGCAGCCAGCCAAUUAUAUCACUUAGAAUGCACUCAGUUAACAAGGAUGCAAGUUCAAGGCACUGCCUUUGUGUAGUUCUAGCUGUGCCUUAGGAAAAACUUACUUUUGUUUUCCCUUAUGUGUGUUUAUUUCCUCCACUGUUUUCAUUAAUCCCUCCUACAUGCAAUAGUUCCCUUGCAAACAUUAUUUUAGCAGUGACCUCAGAGUGUUCUGAACGCCUUCUAAAAGUCAGAUAUUAAAAGAA